CAAGGAAUUUUGCGCAAUGGGCGAAAGCCUGACGCAGCGACACCGCGUGGGGGAUGAAGGUUUUCGGAUCGUAAACCCCUUUUCUCAGGGAAGAAUAAUGACGGUACCUGAGGAAUAAGUCUCGGCUAAAUACGUGCCAGCAGCCGCGGUAAUACGUAUGAGGCGAGCGUUAUCCGGAUUUACUGGGCGUAAAGAGCGCGUAGGCGGUCUUACAAGUCGAAUGUAAAAUCUCCCGGCUUAACUGGGAGGGAUCACUCGAUACUGUAGGACUUGAGGGCAGCAGAGGAAGGUGGAAUUCCCGGUGUAGUGGUGAUAUGCGUAGAUAUCGGGAGGAACAUCAGUGGCGAAGGCGGCCUUCUGGGCUGUACCUGACGCUGAGGCGCGAAAGCGUGGGGAGCGAACAGG
rnacentral:rRNA from 1 species